AACGAACGCUGGCGGCAUGCCUAACACAUGCAAGUCGAACGAGACCUUCGGGUCUAGUGGCGCACGGGUGCGUAACGCGUGGGAACCUGCCUUUAGGUUCGGAAUAACUCAGAGAAAUUUGAGCUAAUACCGGAUAAUGUCUUCGGACCAAAGAUUUAUCGCCUUUAGAUGGGCCCGCGUUGGAUUAGCUAGUUGGUGGGGUAAGGCCUACCAAGGCGACGAUCCAUAGCUGGUCUGAGAGGAUGAUCAGCCACACUGGGACUGAGACACGGCCCAGACUCCUACGGAGGCAGCAGUGGGGAAUAUUGGACAAUGGGCGAAAGCCUGAUCCAGCAAUGUCGCGUGAGUGAUGAAGGCCUAGGGUUGUAAAGCUCUUUUACCCGAGAUGAUAAUGACAGUAUC
rnacentral:rRNA from 1 species